rnacentral:rRNA from 1 species
GAAUUUUAUUUUUAAGUAAAAAAGCUUAAAUGCUUCUUAAAGACGAGAAGACCCUAUAGAGUUUAAUAUAUAUAUUUUGUUAUUAAUUUUUGGUAUUUAUUAUUUUGACUUAAUAAUGUAUUUUGUUGGGGUGAUUAAAGAAUUGAUUUAACUUCUUUUUAAUGCGGAUAUUAGUUGAUAGAUUUUUGAUCCACUAUUAGUGAUUAUAAGAUCAAAUUACCUUAGGGAUAACAGCGUAAUUUUUUUUGAGAGUUCUUAUCGAAAAAGAAUUUUGCGACCUCGAUGUUGGAUUAAAGCUUAUUGUUGGUGUAGUCGCUAAUAAUUUUGGUCUGUUCGACCAUUGGAGCUUUACAUGAUCUGAGU